ACUUCAGCUUCGGUACCAAGCUUUUAAUCAUUCCUCUGACUUCUACGAGCUCAAGUGAUUUCAGCUUGCUUGUCACUACUCUCAGGAAUCCUGCACUUAGGCGUCAAUACAACAGGGAUUUCAUCACAUCCUGAAAUGCAUUGGCCUGUGGGCUCUACUGACAGACAAGAUUUAUUACUUGACUGUCUCAACUUGAACAAUAAAGUAAAUGACUGCUCCGUGCUUCAGUCAUGCCAUCAAGGGGAGUCAUCUGAACCUUUAUACUAAUCCAAGGUGCUUGAUGCAAGAGUUACAAGAAGAAGAGACUUAUAAAUUGAGGACACAGCUGAGGAAAACACUGCAGUUAUGGCACAGAUUGAAAAACAAAAUCAUGCAUACCUAUGAAAUGAUCAUCUACUGUGCUAAAAAAUAAAAAAGAAAAGAAAAGAAAAGAAAGAAAAAGAAGAGAAAAGGAAACGUGAAAGAAU
rnacentral:lncRNA from 1 species